rnacentral:rRNA from 1 species
AUUGAACGCUGGCGGCAUGCCUUACACAUGCAAGUCGAACGGCAGCACGGGAGCAAUCCUGGUGGCGAGUGGCGAACGGGUGAGUAAAGUAUCGGAACGUGCCCAGUCGUGGGGGAUAACGUAGCGAAAGUUACGCUAAUACCGCAUACGAUCUAUGGAUGAAAGCGGGGGAUCGCAAGACCUCGCGCGAUUGGAGCGGCCGAUAUCAGAUUAGGUAGUUGGUGGGGCAAAGGCUCACCAAGCCGAAGAUCUGAAGAUGGUCUGAGAGGACGACCAGACAGACUGGGACUGAGGCACGGCCCAGACUCCUACGGGAGGCAGCAGUGGGAAAUUUUGGACAAUGGGCGAAAGCCUGAUCCAGCCAUGCCGCGUGCAGGAUGAAGGCCUUCGGGUUGUAAACUGCUUUUGUACGGAACGAAAAGGUUUGGCCUAAUAAGCUGAGCUCAUGACGGUACCGUAAGAAUAAGCACCGGCUAACUACGUGCCAGCCGCCGCCGUAA